GAUGAACGCUAGCGGCAGGCCUAAUACAUGCAAGUCGAACGGGAUCCAGAUCAAAGCUUGCUUUGGUCUGGUGAGAGUGGCGCACGGGUGCGUAACGCGUGAGCAACCUACCCUUGUCAGGGGGAUAGCCCGGCGAAAGUUGGAUUAAUACCGCAUGACAUCAUUGAGAGGCAUCUUUCGAUGAUCAAAGAUUUAUCGGACAAGGAUGGGCUCGCGUGACAUUAGCUAGUUGGUAAGGUAACGGCUUACCAAGGCUGCGAUGUCUAGGGGCUCUGAGAGGAGAAUCCCCCACACUGGUACUGAGACACGGACCAGACUCCUACGGGAGGCAGCAGUAAGGAAUAUUGGUCAAUGGUCGGAAGUCUGAACCAGCCAUGCCGCGUGCAGGAAGACGGCCCUAUGGGUUGUAAACUGCUUUUAUACGGGAACAAACGUCGGUACGUGUACCGGUCUGAGUGUACCGUAAGAAUAAGGAUCGGCUAACUCCGUG
rnacentral:rRNA from 1 species